UACGUAGGGGGCAAGCGUUGUCCGGAAUCAUUGGGCGUAAGCGCGUGUAGGCGGCUCGGUAAGUCUGCUGUGAAAGUCCAGGGCUCAACCCUGGAAUGCCGGUGGAAACUGUCGGGCUAGAGUCCGGAAGAGGCGAGUGGAAUUCCUGGUGUAGCGGUGAAAUGCGCAGAUAUCAGGAGGAACACCAAUGGCGAAGGCAGCUCGCUGGGACGGUACUGACGCUGAAACGCGAAAGCGUGGGGAGCAAACAGG
rnacentral:rRNA from 1 species